GGCGAACGCUGGCGGCAGGCUUAACACAUGCAAGUCGAACGGGCAUCUUCGGAUGUCAGUGGCAGACGGGUGAGUAACACGUGGGAACGUACCCUUCGGUUCGGAAUAACUCAGGGAAACUUGAGCUAAUACCGGAUACGCCCUUUUGGGGAAAGGUUUACUGCCGAAGGAUCGGCCCGCGUCUGAUUAGCUUGUUGGUGGGGUAACGGCCUACCAAGGCGACGAUCAGUAGCUGGUCUGAGAGGAUGAUCAGCCACACUGGGACUGAGACACGGCCCAGACUCCUACGGGAGGCAGCAGUGGGGAAUAUUGGACAAUGGGCGCAAGCCUGAUCCAGCCAUGCCGCGUGAGUGAUGAAGGCCUUAGGGUUGUAAAGCUCUUUUGUCCGGGACGAUAAUGACGGUACCGGAAGAAUAAGCCCCGGCUAACUUCGUG
rnacentral:rRNA from 1 species